GACGAACGCUGGCGGCGUGCCUAAUACAUGCAAGUCGAGCGAAGUUUUUCUGUUGCUUGCACUAGAAACACUUAGCGGCGAACGGGUGAGUAACACGUAAAGAACCUGUCUCAUAGACUGGGACAACUAUUGGAAACGAUAGCUAAUACCGGAUAACAGUAUUUCUCGCAUGAGAGAUAUUUAAAAGUUGGUUAUGCUAACACUAUGAGAUGGCUUUGCGGUGCAUUAGCUAGUUGGUGGGGUAACGGCCCACCAAGGCGACGAUGCAUAGCCGACCUGAGAGGGUGAUCGGCCACACUGGGACGGAGACACGGCCCAGACGCCUACGGGAGGCAGCAGUAGGGAAUCUUCCGCAAUGGGCGAAAGCCUGACGGAGCAACGCCGCGUGAGUGAAGAAGGAUUUCGGUUCGUAAAGCUCUGUUGUUAGGGAAGAAUGGAUACGUAGUAACUAUACAUGUAAGAGACGGUACCUAACCAGAAAGCCACGGCUAACUACGUG
rnacentral:rRNA from 1 species